UCUCCCCCCCCCUCCCGCGCCCGCAUCAACGCUAUUUUCUUUCCUCCGACAGCGACAGCCCUGGUUUCGCUUCCUUUCUCUCUCCGCGCCCCCUCCUCCCCGCCCGCCCGGCCAUCCUCGGGCAGAUUUUCCCGAAGAUGCCUCUGGACUGCUUAGUAUGAUAAACCUACCUGCAGUUUAUUCGUAAAGAUGGAAGAGACUGUCGCGCUGGAAGGUGAACACCCUGACGUCCUGCCUCGGCUAGUACUUCUCCCUGUAGCUGGUUCCCAUUCUUCCUUAGGUCUUUGCAUUGUCUCUCCCAUUAGGAUGUACGAUCUUCAGUAAGAUUCUCUUCCUUGGUGAGUGGCAAUCUGGAUCUUCUUUCCGUUAGGCAAAGCUAGCAUUUGAACACAGUACUGAACACCUAGGACUUGAAUUUUUUUUAAUAGUUCAUUUCUGUUACUCCUCUU
rnacentral:lncRNA from 1 species